AACGAACGCUGGCGGCAUGCCUAACACAUGCAAGUCGAACGAGACCUUCGGGUCUAGUGGCGCACGGGGGCGUAACGCGUGGGAACCUGCCCUUAGGUUAGGAAUAACUGCCCGAAGGGGGUGCUAAUACCGGAUAAUGUCUUCGGACCAAAGAUUUAUCGCCUUUGGAUGGGCCCGCGUUGGAUUAGCUAGUUGGUAGGGUAAAAGCCUACCAAGGCGACGAUCCAUAGCUGGUCUGAGAGGAUGCUCAGCCACACUGGGACUGAGACACGGCCCAGACUCCUACGGGAGGCAGCAGUGGGGAAUAUUGGACAAUGGGCGAAAGCCUGAUCCAGCAAUGCCGCGUGAGUGAUGAAGGCCUUAGGGUUGUAAAGCUCUUUUACCCGGGAUGAUAAUGACAGUACCGGGAGAAUAAGCACCGGCUAACUCCGUG
rnacentral:rRNA from 1 species